GAUGAACGCUGACAGAAUGCUUAACACAUGCAAGUCGAUGGGGAAGUGGUGCUUGCACCAUGGUAACCAUGGCGGACGGGUGAGUAACGCGUAAGGAACUUGCCUGCGGGACUGGGAUAACAGCAGGAAACUGCUGAUAAUACAGGAUAAGGUCAUUAAGCUGCAUAGCUUAGUGAUGAAAGGAGACGCCUGCGGAGAGCCUUGCGUCCUAUUAGCUAGUUGGAGGGGUAACGGCCCACCAAGGCGAAGAUAGGUAGCCGGCCUGAGAGGGUGGACGGCCACAAGGGGACUGAGAUACGGCCCUUACUCCUACGGGAGGCAGCAGUGGGGAAUAUUGGACAAUGGGGGCAACCCUGAUCCAGCAAUUCUGUGUGCACGAAGACGGUUUUCGGAUUGUAAAGUGCUUUCAGCAGGGAAGAAGGAAGUGACGGUACCUGCAGAAGAAGCGACGGCUAAAUACGUG
rnacentral:rRNA from 1 species